rnacentral:tRNA from 1 species
AGUUUCGUAAUUUAUAAAAAAUAUAAAAUUGCAAAUUUUAAAAAGAGUUUAUCCGAAACUU